ACGAACGCUGGCGGCGUGCUUCACACAUGCAAGUCGAACGGAAAGGCCCUGCUUUUGUGGGGUGCUCGAGUGGCGAACGGGUGAGUAACACGUGAGUAACCUGCCCUUGACUUUGGGAUAACUUCAGGAAACUGGGGCUCAUACCGGAUAGGAGCUCCUGCUGCCUGGUGGGGGUUGGAAAGUUUCGGCGGUUGGGGAUGGACUCGCGGCUUAUCAGCUUGUUGGUGGGGUAGUGGCUUACCAAGGCUUUGACGGGUAGCCGGCCUGAGAGGGUGACCGGCCACAUUGGGACUGAGAUACGGCCCAGACUCCUACGGGAGGCAGCAGUGGGGAAUAGUGCACAAUGGGCGGAAGCCUGAUGCAGCAACGCCGCGUGCGGGAUGACGGCCUUCGGGUUGUAAACCGCUUUCGCCUGUGACGAAGCGUGAGUGACGGUAAUGGGUAAAGAAGCACCGGCUAACUACGUG
rnacentral:rRNA from 1 species